rnacentral:rRNA from 1 species
UACGGGGGGGGCAAGCGUUGUUCGGAAUUACUGGGCGUAAAGGGCUUGUAGGCGGCCCACUAAGUCAGACGUGAAAUCCCUCGGCUUAACCGGGGAACUGCGUCUGAUACUGGAUGGCUUGAGUUUGGGAGAGGGACGCGGAAUUCCAGGUGUAGCGGUGAAAUGCGUAGAUAUCAGGAGGAACACCUGUGGUGUAGACAGCUUACUGGACCAUAACUGACGCUGAGGCACGAAAGCGUGGGUAGCAAACAGG